UACGUUCAUAUAAAUUUGAAAUGCCGGUUCUCGUACGAUCACCGAAAUUAAGCAACGUCGAGCCUGGUCAGUACCUAGAUGGGUGACCGCUUGGGAACACCAGCUGC
rnacentral:rRNA from 1 species